CAGCCGCCGCGGUAAUACGUAGGGUGCAAGCGUUAAUCGGAAUUACUGGGCGUAAAGCGUACGCAGGCGGCUUUGCAAGACAGGUGUGAAAUCCCCGGGCCUAACCUGGGAACUGCAUUUGUGACUGCAUGGCUAGAGUCUGUCAGAGGGGGGUGGAAUUCCACGUGUAGCAGUGAAAUGCGUAGAGAUGUGGAAGAACACCGAUGGCGAAGGCAGCCCCCUGGGAUGAGACUGACGCUCAUGUACGAAAGCGUGGGGAGCAAACAGGAUUAGAUACCCUGGUAGUCCACGCCGUAAACGAUGUCUGCUAGCCGUGGGGAUCCUUGAGGUCUCGGUGGCGCAGCUAACGCGAUAAGCAGACCGCCUGGGGAGUACGGCCGCAAGGUUAAAACUCAAAGGAAUUGACGG
rnacentral:rRNA from 1 species